rnacentral:rRNA from 1 species
UACGAAGGGGGCUAGCGUUGUUCGGAAUUACUGGGCGUAAAGCGCACGUAGGCGGAUUGCUAAGUCAGGGGUGAAAUCCCGGGGCUCAACCUCGGAACUGCCUUUGAUACUGACAAUCUCGAGUCCGGAAGAGGUGGGUGGAAUUCCUAGUGUAGAGGUGAAAUUCGUAGAUAUUAGGAAGAACACCAGUGGCGAAGGCGGCCCACUGGUCCGGUACUGACGCUGAGGCGCGAAAGCGUGGGGAGCAAACAGG